rnacentral:snRNA from 1 species
AUACUUACCUGGCAGGGGAGAUACCAUGAUCACGAAGGUGGUUUUCCCAGGGCAAGGCUUAUCCAUUGCACUCCAUAUGUGCUGACCCCUGUGAUUUCCCCAAAUGUGGGAAACUCGACUGCAUAAUUUGUGGUAGUGGGGGACUGCAUUCGCGCUUUCCCCUG